rnacentral:rRNA from 1 species
UAGGGAAUCUUCGGCAAUGGGGGCAACCCUGACCGAGCAACGCCGCGUGAGUGAAGAAGGUUUUCGGAUCGUAAAGCUCUGUUGUAAGAGAAGAACGUGUGUGAGAGUGGAAAGUUCACACAGUGACGGUAACUUACCAGAAAGGGACGGCUAACUACGUGCCAGCAGCCGCGGUAAUACGUAGGUCCCGAGCGUUGUCCGGAUUUAUUGGGCGUAAAGCGAGCGCAGGCGGUUUAAUAAGUCUGAAGUUAAAGGCAGUGGCUUAACCAUUGUUCGCUUUGGAAACUGUUAAACUUGAGUGCAGAAGGGGAGAGUGGAAUUCCAUGUGUAGCGGUGAAAUGCGUAGACAUAUGGAGGAACACGGGUGGCGAAAGCGGCUCUCUGGUCUGUAACUGACGCUGAGGCUCGAAAGCGUGGGGAGCAAACAGG